rnacentral:lncRNA from 10 species
UGAUGCCAUUGAAAAUUAUAAUACCUUGCAUUUCUGUUGUUCUUUCCAGCAUGCAAAGCUCUUUUCAAUGUCAUCAUCUCAUCCCACCAUCACAACCCUGGGAGAUCAUUUAGGUUCAUAUUAGUUUUGCCAUUUUACAUGAAAGCCAAGUCUUGGGUAAGUAAACUGAUGUGUCUCAGGACCUCACUUCAGGAAAGAUAAAAUCAGUGUUCAAACCCAUGUUUUAGGACUCUGAGCCCCAGAAUGUUCUACUUCUCUGGAAUGCAGUCUGAUGUGAUUGUGAAUCAAAAGGAUACCUCACUGCCUGGUAGUAUAAGCUAUUGCAGGUCUGACGAAGCAGACAUGAGACGCACAGAAGACAGCUGCUGCUUUGCCCUGUGACCAAGGUCCUCCCCAAUCAUUCCUGCUCUGCUUACAGAAUUAUUAUCAUGGUGAAAGGAAGGAGUGCUUUCCAAAGUGUGAAGAAGAAAUCUGCAAGUCCUCACCACGGAGCCUUGAAAAGGAGGUCACAGAAAUAUCUGGAGCAAAGGACUUCCUCUCACUUGUCUCACCCAAUAGCAAUCUUAGAAUAAAGGUUUCUCGCUCCUGGGCCAAGAUCUGGGUUUUUGCAUUUUUGCAUCAGAUUUUGUUCCGUGUUCUGCUUACUCUGCUUAAAUGCAUGUGCAAAUGAGGCACUCAGCAUCACUCCCCAUGAACCGAAGAUUCUUCUGGGCACGUUGGCACAUCGUCAUACCCAGAGGGACAGUUAGCACUCCCCUUGUCAGGUGUUGCUUAUUCGUCAUCAGAUUUGCCAGAGC